rnacentral:rRNA from 1 species
GUGUUGCAUGGUUGUCUUCAAUUCAUGUCGUUAGACGUUAGGUUAAGUCCGCUAAUGAAUGCAAACCCUAUGCUUAAGAAAUUAGGUGUGUAUCUCUGAAAUAGAGAUCGUAAUGGGACUAAGACAAACCUUUAUGACCCUUAUGCGAUGGGCUAUAGACGUGCCGCACAAGCAACUAUAAUAUGAGGCAACACUGCAAAGUUAAGCAAAUCAGCUAAAGUUGUUCUGUACGAAUUGUAGUCUGAAACCCGGCUACAUGAAGAAGGAAUUCUGAGUAAUCGUGGAUAAGUAUGUCACGGUGAA